AACAAUAGUCAUUGGACAAAGUGAAUGGGUCACAUGGGCUUGUCUAAGUUCCGACCCAGGAAAGUCCCCGGGCCACUUUUCGCAGAGAUGCGGCCUCGGUAACGAGAGAAUCAUGCGGUGGAGAGAUUCUAUAAGCUGAGACGCGUGUGUGGAGCUUCUGUUGUCUCUCCGUCGAUGACAUCAUGGCCGUUCGAUUCACGACAGUUAUUCACUUGGUCCUCAUCGGACUAACUGAACGGGGCUUAUGUUCCAAUGACAACAAUUUUUUUCUUUUUGAGUAAUCCCGGUUUACUCAACUUACUCAACCGUACCGGUGGAAGAUUCCUUACAGUAAUACUAAAGCUUUUGGCUUAGCUCAUUUUGG